GACGAACGCUGGCGGCGUGCCUAACACAUGCAAGUCGAGCGAAGUGAUUUGGAGUGAAGUUUUCGGAUGGAACAAAGAAUCAUCUUAGCGGCGAACGGGUGAGUAACGCGUGAGAAACCUGCCUUUCACAAAGGGAUAGCCUCGGGAAACUGGGAUUAAUACCUUAUGAUACUCUUAGAUCGCAUGAUCUGAAAGUUAAAGUGUAAAGCGGUGAAAGAUGGUCUCGCGUCCUAUUAGCUAGUUGGUGAGGUAACGGCUCACCAAGGCUGCGAUAGGUAGCCGGCCUGAGAGGGUGAACGGCCACACUGGAACUGAGACACGGUCCAGACUCCUACGGGAGGCAGCAGUGGGGAAUAUUGCACAAUGGAGGAAACUCUGAUGCAGCGACGCCGCGUGAAUGAUGAAGGCCUUCGGGUCGUAAAGUUCUGUCCUUGGGGAAGAUAAUGACGGUACCCAAGGAGGAAGCCCCGGCUAACUACGUG
rnacentral:rRNA from 1 species